CAUUCCCAGUUUACAGCUGAGGAAAUUAAGCUUCAAGUUGCCCAAGUUUAUAGAAUGAGUCAAUGGCAGAGGUUGAACUCAGAUGACAAAAUUGGGGUCUGGACGUGUGCAAGGACUUUUCCAAAGUCAGCUGGAAAGGAGCUGCUUAGCUGAGAGGUUCUGGCUCCAGAGUCUCCUGUGAAGUUGCAGUCAAGAUGUCUGCUGGGACCCCAGUCAUUUGAAGCCCUGUCUGGGGCAGGAGAAUCUAGGUCCAAAAUGGCCGUUGCAGGAGUCCUUAUCCACACCAUGUGGGACCUCUUCAUAGAUGUUCGAGUGUCCUCAUGGCAUGGCCACUGGCUUUCCCCAAAGUAAGCAGUCCAAAAGAGGGUAAGACAGAGCCCACACUGUCUUUUAUGAAUUAGCCUUAGAAGUCUAACACGGUUACUUCCACCACAUUCAUUAGUCGUUAGGUACAGCUCACAUUCAUGGGGAGGAAAAUCAGGGCCUGUCUUUAGAUAGGAGAUGUAUCAAAGAAUUUGUGGACAUAUUUUAAAAUCACAGCACUACUCUUGAUGUACUAAGUCAGUGACUCCCCCAGGAGUCUCACAGAGAAUUGACUCCUUGCCCACCUAUACUACCUUUGUGGGUAGAGACUCCAGUAGUGUGCUGGUUAAUGUUCAACCAGUGGCUUUCUAGAAAACAAAAUGUAUGGAUACAUAUAUAUGUUCUAAGUUUUACUGAUAUGAAGAAUGUGUAGCACAGAAUUUAUAAAUAAUAAAAUAUACAGUAUUAUUUAUUGUAAAUUCCAUAAAACCUGUUGUUUUUCACAAAAGGUUUUAGUUUAUUUUUCCCAAAUGCUUGUAUUGGUAACAUUUUCUGUAUUACCUUUUUAUGUCCAGACAAUCAACAAAACUGAAAAAGCCCAGCCUUGUAGCAUUUGCCAGUUAUUGUGUAAAUGUCCCCACUAUGGUGGAUUUCAGGUUACCACUAUGAUAUCACAGAAUGCAGAAUUGGAAGGAGAUUCACAGCAGCACCCCAUUAUACUAUAUUUUCACCAUACAGAUGCAGUCGAUGUAAAUUACCUGAGGAGCAUAAAUAAUAAUAAAAUGAAGUUAAAUAAUUCGGAAAUGAUUUUGAAAAUUGUGUUGGUUUUUAAUGUAAGUUUAUAUGUCAGCUUUAAUAAAAUCUGUCUUUAACAACUAGCUUGAAGAAUUCUUGAAAAAUUAAUAAUCAGCUCUCAUAGGCUAGUGACAACUGGCUUCAGUGCACCCCUGACUAGAAACACCUUUGCUUUCCACCACAUGUGGAAUUCCCAGUAUUUCAACAAUCAGAAUUGAGCUUAUGAGCCAACCAAGAAAAAUAACAUCUUAUAUAAGAGACAGCAAUUUGAGAGAGGAAUAUCAGUCAGAAGAAACAAGGGGAAAGUC
rnacentral:lncRNA from 10 species